GAUGAACGCUGGCGGCGUGCCUAAUACAUGCAAGUCGAGCGAACAGAUGAGGAGCUUGCUCCUCUGACGUUAGCGGCGGACGGGUGAGUAACACGUGGAUAACCUACCUAUAAGACUGGGAUAACUUCGGGAAACCGGAGCUAAUACCGGAUAAUAUAUUGAACCGCAUGGUUCAAUAGUGAAAGACGGUUUUGCUGUCACUUAUAGAUGGUUCUCGGCCGCUUGAGCUAGUUGUUAAGGUAACGGCUUACCAAGGCAAGGAGGCGUAGCCGACCUGGGGGGGUGAUCGGCCACACUGGAACUGAGACACGGUCCAGACUCCUAAGGGAGGCAGCAGUAGGGAAUCUUCCGCAAUGGGCGAAAGCCUGACGGAGCAACGCCGCGUGAGUGAUGAAGGUCUUCGGAUCGUAAAACUCUGUUAUUAGGGAAGAACAAAUGUGUAAGUAACUAUGCACGUCUUGACGGUACCUAAUCAGAAAGCCACGGCUAACUACGUG
rnacentral:rRNA from 1 species